GCUAAACGCGAAGAACCUUACCAGCUUUUGACAUGUCCGGUUUGAUCGACAGAGAUGUCUUUCUUCAGUUCGGCUGGCCGGAACACAGGUGCUGCAUGGCUGUCGUCAGCUCGUGUCGUGAGAUGUUGGGUUAAGUCCCGCAACGAGCGCAACCCUCGCCCCUAGUUGCCAUCAUUCAGUUGGGAACUCUAGGGGGACUGCCGGUGAUAAGCCGCGAGGAAGGUGGGGAUGACGUCAAGUCCUCAUGGCCCUUACAGGCUGGGGCUACACACGUGCUACAAUGGCGGUGACAAUGGGCAGCGAAAGGGUGACCUCGAGCUAAUCCCAAAAAGCCGUCUCAGUUCAGAUUGUACUCUGCAACUCGAGUACAUGAAGGUGGAAUCGCUAGUAAUCGUGGAUCAGCAUGCCACGGUGAAUACGUUCCCGGGUCUUGUACACACCG
rnacentral:rRNA from 1 species